rnacentral:rRNA from 1 species
CUACGGGGUGCUGCAGUGAGGAAUAUUGCACAAUGGGGGGAACCCUGAUGCAGCAACGCCGCGUGGAGGAUGACGCAUUUCGGUGUGUAAACUCCUUUUAUAUGCCAAGAAAAUGACGGUAGCAUAUGAAUAAGCACCGGCUAACUCCGUGCCAGCAGCCGCGGUAAUACGGAGGGUGCAAGCGUUACUCGGAAUCACUGGGCGUAAAGGACGCGUAGGCGGGUUGGAAAGUCAGGUGUGAAAUCCUACAGCUUAACUGUAGAACUGCACUUGAAACUUCUAAUCUAGAGUAUGGGAGAGGGGGAUGGAAUUAGUGGUGUAGGGGUGAAAUCCGUAGAUAUCACUAGGAAUACCUAAAGCGAAGGCGAUCUCCUGGAACAUUACUGACGCUAAGGCGUGAAAGCGUGGGGAGCAAACAGGAUUAGAUACCCGGGUAGUC